UACGGGGGGAGCAAGCGUUGUCCGGAAUUAUUGGGCGUAAAGAGCUUGUAGGCGGUCUGUCGCGUCUGCCGUGAAAACCCGAGGCUCAACUUCGGGCUUGCAGUCGAUACGGGCAGGCUAGAGUUCGGUAGGGGAGACUGGAAUUCCUGGUGUAGCGGUGAAAUGCGCAGAUAUCAGGAGGAACACCGAUGGCGAAGGCAGGUCUCUGGGCCGAUACUGACGCUGAGGAGCGAAAGCGUGGGGAGCGAACAGG
rnacentral:rRNA from 1 species